ACGGAGGAAUCCGAAAAUCCUUAAACAGAGUAGGAA
rfam:Lutibacter sp. BRH_c52 BRHa_1005630, whole genome shotgun sequence.